CCAAGGAGUUUAGCGUGUGCGCGAGUCAUUGGGUACAAUAAACCUAAAGGCGAAAUGAAAGUGAAGGAAACUUGCUUUCUGAAGGAAGAUGGGUCAGGGCUCACUGAGCCCUCCUCGCACUCCUGGGGCGUCUGUAACUCUCUUUGAGGGGAAGGCGCACCUAGAGCGCACACGCUGAUACCCGAAAGAUGGUGAACUAUGCCUGGCCAGGACGAAGCCAGGGGAAACCCUGGUGGAGGUCCGCAGCGAUUCUGACGUGCAAAUCGAUCGUCGGAGCUGGGUAUAGGGGCGAAAGACCAAUCGAA
rnacentral:rRNA from 1 species